CGAAAGCGUGGGGAGCGAACAGGAUUAGAUACCCUGGUAGUCCACGCCGUAAACGGUGGAUGCUGGAUGUGGGGCCCGUUCCACGGGUUCCGUGUCGGAGCUAACGCGUUAAGCAUCCCGCCUGGGGAGUACGGCCGCAAGGCUAAAACUCAAAGAAAUUGACGGGGGCCCGCACAAGCGGCGGAGCAUGCGGAUUAAUUCGAUGCAACGCGAAGAACCUUACCUGGGCUUGACAUGUUCCCGACCGCUCCAGAGAUGGGGCUUCCCUUCGGGGCGGGUUCACAGGUGGUGCAUGGUCGUCGUCAGCUCGUGUCGUGAGAUGUUGGGUUAAGUCCCGCAACGAGCGCAACCCUCGCCCUGUGUUGCCAGCACGUCGUGGUGGGAACUCACGGGGGACCGCCGGGGUCAACUCGGAGGAAGGUGGGGAUGACGUCAGAUCAUCAUGCCCCUUACGUCCAGGGCUUCACGCAUGCUACAAUGGCCGGUACAACGGGAUGCGACACUGUGAGGUGGAGCGGAUCCCUUAAAACCGGUCUCAGUUCGGAUUGGAGUCUGCAACCCGACUCCAUGAAGGCGGAGUCGCUAGUAAUCGCGGAUCAGCAACGCCGCGGUGAAUGCGUUCCCGGGCCUUGUACACACCGCCCGUCAAGUCAUGAAAGUGGGUAGCACCCGAAGCCGGUGGCCCAACCUUUUGGGGGGAGCCGUCUAAGGUGAGACUCGUGAUUGGGACUAAGUCGUAACAAGGUAGCCGUACCGGAAGGUGCGGCUG
rnacentral:rRNA from 1 species